UUGCGCAACAGCGAGCAGUAGUUUUCCAGUUUAUCCACGGUCUAGUAGGCUAGGUUUGCAGUGGCUGCAGCAGGUGUUAUUGAAGAGGAAGUUGUUGCUAAUUUGUUAGCUUCUCCCUUUUCAAGAAUAACUUUCAACGACAAGCUGAGUUUCAAAUGAUCAUCAUCUGGCAACUACCACGGUCUUGUAGUGGAUGCAAGCUUCGACUGGAAGCCAGUGGAGUGUGAGAAGUAGCGGGGGGAUAUGGUAGAACUUCUGAAGGUUGAAGACCAGGUGGGCUGCAUCGUUCUGGAUAAGAUGCAGGGGUUUGCUGCCCGCUCUGUCCAGUUCAAGCUCUUCUCUGUCCUGGCACCCCAAUGGUGGAACCAGCUUCCCCCUGAAGCUAGAACAGCAGUGUCCCUGCCCAUCUUCCGAAAACAUCUGAAACCCUACCUCUUAAAAGAUUGCCUUUCGUGUACUAACACUCGCACUUAAUAGCUACUUUAUUAAGGAAAAUGUGCUUACAAGGAAUGUGAUAAGUAGUUGUCCCACCUAGCCAUCUUAAGAUACAUGCAUUAACUGUAAGUCUCUCUGGAUAAGAGCAUCUGCUAAAUGACUCAAAUGUUAAUGAGAGAGAGCGAGAUAAUGAAGAGUGCCUCCUAAACAGGAACGUUUGUGAGACACGUGUGUCACCAAGCAUCGUGCUGUAAAAUAAAGUGAAUCCGUUUAAUCAUAAA